GACGAACGCUGGCGGCGUGCUUAACACAUGCAAGUCGAACGGGCCUUGUCCCCUUUUUUUUUGGGGGUGGGGUUAGUGGCGAACGGGUGAGUAACACGUGAGUAACCUGCCCCUCACUUCUGGAUAGCCGCUUGAAAGGGUGGCUAAUACGGGGUGUUCUGGCCUGCUCGCAUGGGUGGGUUUGGAAAGAUUCGACCGGUUUUGGUUGUUUUGGUGGGGGAUGGGCUCGCGGCCUAUCAGCUUGUUGGUGGGGUGAUGGCCUGCCAAGGCUUUGACGGGUAGCCGGCCUGAGAGGGUGGGCGGUCACACUGGGACUGGGACACGGCCCAGACUCCUACGGGAGGCAGCAGUGGGGAAUAUUGCACAAUGGGCGCAAGCCUGAUGCAGCGACGCCGCGUGAGGGAUGGAGGCCUUCGGGUUGUGAACCUCUUUCGCCAGUGAAGAAGGUCCUGCUCUUUGUGGUGGGGUUGACGGUAGCUGGGUUAAUGAAGCGCCGGCUAACUACGUG
rnacentral:rRNA from 1 species